AUGGGGCUCCGCAGGAGAGGGCCGCCGCUGCUGAUGCUUCUCGGCCUGGCGGCCACGGCCUUGGCCGCCUCCGCCUCCGCCUCCGAGGGCGACGCCGAUCCGCUCUACAGAGCUUGCUUCGAAGAAUGUCAAAGGACUGGCACCCUGAAAGAGGAUUCUAUCAAACACUGUGUUGUGCCGACCGAUGACCAGCCCGCUGACAAGGCAUGGUACGCGCACGAGCCAUUGUACCUCCAGUGGAAGGAGUGGAACUGCAACAGCGAAUGCCGAUACCAUUGUAUGAUGGAAAGAGAGCAGGAAAGGGAAGAGCUUGGGCUAGGGCCCGUCAAGUAUCAUGGCAAAUGGCCUCUCAAACGUGCUUCUGUGUUUCAGGAACCUCUUUCUGCAGCUCUAUCUGCCCUGACUCUUCUCGUGCAGUUUAAUGGAUGGCUAUCGUUUUUCCUCUUGCUUUCUUACAAGCUGCCUCUUAGGCCAGAAACUCAUGCCACAUACUACGAAUACACCGGAUUAUGGCACAUCAACGCGCUCUUGGCCAUGAAUUCGUGGUUCUGGUGUGCCAUAUAUCACAGUUGUGAUACUGCUUGGACAGAAAAGCUGUAUUUGUCAUCAGCUGCUGCUUUUUUUGGUUACUCCCUCAUCUUGGCCAUACUGCGAACUUCGAAUCUGAGGGAUGAAGCUUCAAGAGUGAUGGUUGCAGCUCCAAUUCUGGCUUUUGUGACAACCCACAUUUUGUACCUCAACUUCUACGAACUCGACAAAGGCCUGAACAUGAAGGUUUGCACUGUUAUUAGCGUUGCUCAGCUCCUUCUAUGGACAGUGUGGGCUGCUAUCACAAGGCAUCCUUCACGCCUGAAGGUCGCCUUUGUUGCCAUCGGUGGUGUCCUCUCACUAUACCUGGAAGCACAUGAUGUCCCUCCGCGAUGGGGAUAUGUUGAUGGACACGCAAUCUGCCUCGCCAUGGCUAUCCCCCUGUCAUACCUCUGGUGGAGCUUCGCCAAGGAAGACGCCGAGAUGCGCACGGCGGCAAUCAUGAAGAAGAAACGAUAA
rnacentral:rRNA from 1 species